rnacentral:rRNA from 1 species
CCUACGGGGGGCUGCAGUGGGGAAUAUUGCGCAAUGGGCGAAAGCCUGACGCAGCGACGCCGCGUGAGGGAUGAAGGUCUUCGGAUCGUAAACCUCUGUCAGCAGGGAAGAACGGUCACUGUGCUAAACAGCAGUGAAUUGACGGUACCUGCAAAGGAAGCACCGGCUAACUCCGUGCCAGCAGCCGCGGUAAUACGGAGGGUGCGAGCGUUAAUCGGAAUUACUGGGAGUAAAGCGCUCGUAGGCGGUAUGUCAAGUCAAGGGUGAAAGCCCCGCGCUCAACGUGGGAACUGCCUUUGAAACUGACAAACUGGAGUGUGUUAGAGGAUAGUGGAAUUCCAGGUGUAGGAGUGAAAUCCGUAGAUAUCUGGAGGAACAUCAGUGGCGAAGGCGACUAUCUGGCACAUAACUGACGCUGAGGAGCGAAAGCGUGGGUAGCAAACAGGAUUAGAUACCCCUGUAGUC